CGUAUCAUGCAGUGGUGUAGAGGUUGGGUGAGAAUGACACGUGUUGCUUCAUUAUCUAAAAGACCCAUCCCCGGCAAAGUCACCUGCAGAAAGAAAGGCCAGUUUGCAUUUCAAUCGAAGGUCAUGGAUAUCAUUACGGCAAAGGUGUCAGGCAUUGGUGUAGAGGUUGGGUAAGAACGGGACGUUUUGCUUCAUUAUCAAAAAGUUGGCAGGGAUCAGUCGAGUGAGCAUCUCCGACACGGCAACAACUCCAUAUUUCGUCGUAAUAUCAGUUCGCAAUCACGGGUAAAUGUUCAUUUUUAUUUCGAGUCGUAAAUCUAUUCUAUCUUGUCAUUAGUUGUUGAUACGACUAGUUACCUUCGAAAAAUAAUUUCCGAUUGUUUAUUCCAUAGCUAAUUAUGGUAUUGUGUUGCUGUUGGGUGCUGUAUCGUUGAUGUCGACCACGAGAGAAAAUCUUUCAAAAGGAAAGAGAAAAGGCAACAUAAGUCAAUCGAGUGAGCAUCUCCGACCCGGCAACAACUGCAUUCUUCGUCGUAAUACCAGGUCGCAAUCACGGUUAACUAUGCCGUCGUGCUGCUAUUGGUUGUUGUAUCGUUGAUGGCUGGGUCGAACACUGGUGUACCGAUGUCUCCUGGAUAAGGCGGAUACCAAACCGCAGCGCCGCCGCCUUACUACACAACAACAUACGCAACGACCAGUUACUACACCGAGGUUGCACAGUUGGGUUUACAGUUAAACCACCAAGGAUUCAGAUUAUUACACCACAACUUGUGCUGCUCCCCGAGCUACACUACCAAAGCGCAGAGUACUACACCGAAGCUCCUAAGUACUACACCACCGAGGCACCUACUGAGACUACGCAACUACGUAUGCUGCCCCAACCUACGACACCGAGGCUCCAGCUUAUUACACCACUAAAGCUGUCGAAUACUACACUGGAGCGCCCAAGUACGAUAGAAGUCGGUCAAGUGAGCUUCUCCGACACGCAACACGGCAGCCCCGAAGUUUCGAAUAAUCUUCGUUUCAAACAGUGGAACGACAAAGAGUGAGGGAAAGAUAACGGCGGCGUAGCAUUCGUACGUGUACACCGCGUCGUUAAACUUGACAUUGUCGGACGGAAAGCCGAACUUGACGAUGGCCGUGCCAUAAGCCUACGACAAGUGCCUUAUUGCCACAGGUGGUAAACAAAAAUCUUUUCCAAUCCCUGAGCGGUGCCCUCAAAGAUGUCCACGAGCACGUAAUGCUGUUCCGCAACAUCGAUGGCGGUAACAUAGGCCGAGUCCUCCCUAAAUACUUGAGCCAUUGGACUUCCGAGAAGGUGAAAGCUCAAGGUGUCAAUGUGUUGCCCAAAGCUAAUGUUGAGGGUGCAAUUUUGGAAGACUACAAGGUCGCAUUGACCUUUAACGAUGGUCAAAAGAAUUCAUUUCAUCAGAUUUAAACUGAACAUGUCAUCGCUGUUGUCGGUUGGGACGCAAACUUCACGGAUUUGGCUGUCGUUUCUGGUUUGGAAAUAGAUUCCAAUUUUGGUGGUUAUCGAGUCAAUACCGAGCUUGAAGCACGAUCGAACGUCUGGUUGGCUGGAUAUGUUGCGUUCGUUUGUGAUAUCAAAUUGGGUCGUUGGCGUACGGAACAUCAUCACUUUGCUGUUGUAUCAGGGCGAUUGCUGGAGAGAACAAUACUGGCAACGAAACAUGGAUGAACAACUGCAGUGCACUGUCAUCAAGUUCAUUCUUCGUCGUAUUAUCAGUACGCAAUCGGUGUCGUGCUGUUGCCGUUUGUCGUAUCGUUGAAGGUUGGGUCGAUCACUGGUGUACUCAUGGCUCCUGGGUAUGGCGGAUACCAAAGCACCACGCCGCCACCUUGCUACACAACGAAAACAUUCGCACCAACCGGUUACUACACUGAGGGCCACAAUUACUACACCACCAAGGCUCCAGAGUAUUACACCGCAGCUAAUGCUGCCCCGAGCUAAAUCACCAAAGAUCCUGAGUACUACACCGAGGCUCCCAAAUACUACACCACCAAGUCACCGGAGUACUACACGUAUGUUGCCCCAGCUUAUACACCGAGGCUCCAAGUAUCACUCAGUUCCUAGCUACUACACCGAGGCUCCAACUUAUUACACCUCCAAAGCGGCUGAAUACUACACCGAGCCGCCCAAGUACUACACCACCAAGGCUCCAGAGUAUUACACUACAACUUAUGCUUCCCCGAGCCACUAUACCGAAGCCCCGAAGUAUUACUCUGCCUCAAGCUACACAACUACAACUCGGCUUACUACACAGCGGCUGCUGCUCCUUCGUACUACGUUGAACCGGAAUACUACACCGAGGCUCCAGUUUACUACACCACAACCUACGCUACAACUAGCUACUACACCGAGGCACCUAAGUACUACGCUACCAAGGCACCUGAGUAUUAUACCAAUACUUACGCUGCUCCGACCAGCUACACCGAAGCUCCGAACUAUUACUCUAUUCCGAGUUACUACGCCACUAAGGCACCUGAAUAUUACACCACACCCUACGCUUAUUCAACUUACUACAGGGACGUUUCUAAAUACUAGAGUCGAAUUUUCAAUUUUUAGUAAUCAUGUUCAGAUUUGUCGGUCAUAUCUUAAUAGUUACUAGUCUUUAAUGAGAAAAUAUUUUUUUUUAUCUGGUUAAUCAUUUUGUACGACUCUUCUUGCCACCUAAAAGCCUUUGACAUUGCGACGUUUUCUUAUUUUUAUUUGACCUUUCCUAUUUCGCAUGUUGGAGGUGAAUAUUUCUCUAGUCGUUCUGCAUUCCGACAUAUUCUAGUGUUUGGACAAAAGAGUUGCAGAUAGUGUUUGGUUUCUCAUAGAAGUUUUAUUUGCAGGGUCUGGAGUUGAUCAGUCACUUGCAUAUAACUUAUGUAGAACUUCAAAGUUGUAAAAAAUAUACAAGUCGUGAACUAAA